ACGGGAGGCAGCAGUGGGGGAUAUUGCGCAAUGGGGGAAACCCUGAUGCAGCGACGCCGCGUGAGUGAAGAAGUAUUUCGGUAUGUAAAGCUCUAUCAGCAGGGAAGAUAAUGACGGUACCUGACUAAGAAGCACCGGCUAAAUACGUGCCAGCAGCCGCGGUAAUACGUAUGGUGCAAGCGUUAUCCGGAUUUACUGGGUGUAAAGGGAGCGUAGACGGCAUAGCAAGUCUGAUGUGAAAGCUAUGGGCUCAACCCAUAAACUGCAUUGGAAACUGUUAAGCUAGAGCGUCGGAGAGGUAAGUGGAAUUCCUAGUGUAGCGGUGAAAUGCGUAGAUAUUAGGAGGAACACCAGUGGCGAAGGCGGCUUACUGGACGAUAACUGACGUUGAGGCUCGAAAGCGUGGGGAGCAAACAGGAUUAGAUACCCUGGUA
rnacentral:rRNA from 1 species